rnacentral:tRNA from 1 species
CCGUCGAUAGCUCAGAUGGUAGGGCGGUGGACUGUAGAUCCAUAGGUCGCUGGUUCAAAUCCGUCUCGACGGA